rnacentral:rRNA from 1 species
AACGAACGCUGGCGGCAGGCUUAACACAUGCAAGUCGAGCGCUCACUUCGGUGAGAGCGGCAGACGGGUGAGUAACACGUGGGAACCUACCCAUCCCUACGGAAUAGCCCAGGGAAACUUGGAUUAAUACCGUAUACGCCCUUCGGGGGAAAGAUUUAUCGGGGAUGGAUGGGCCCGCGCUGGAUUAGCUAGUUGGUGGGGUAAUGGCCUACCAAGGCGACGAUCCAUAGCUGGUCUGAGAGGAUGAUCAGCCACACUGGGACUGAGACACGGCCCAGACUCCUACGGGAGGCAGCAGUGGGGAAUAUUCGGCAAUGGGCGCAAGCCUGACCGAGCCAUGCCGCGUGUGUGAUGAAGGCCUUAGGGUUGUAAAGCACUUUCAACGGGGAAGAUAAUGACGGUACCCGUAGAAGAAGCCCCGGCUAACUUCGUGCCAGCGCCGCGGUAA